UACGUAGGGCGCGAGCGUUGUCUGGAAUUAUUGGGCGUAAAGAGCUCGUAGGCGGUUUGUCGCGUCUGUCGUGAAAGCCCACGGCUUAACCGUGGGUCUGCGGUGGAUACGGGCAGACUAGAGGCAGGUAGGGGAGAAUGGAAUUCCCGGAGUAGCGGUGAAAUGCGCAGAUAUCGGGAGGAACACCGGUGGCGAAGGCGGUUCUCUGGGCCUGUACUGACGCUGAGGAGCGAAAGCGUGGGGAGCAAAAGGG
rnacentral:rRNA from 1 species